GGCUGCAGUGGGUACGGCAGACUAGAGUGCGGUAGGGGAGAUUGGAAUUCCUGGUGUAGCGGUGGAAUGCGCAGAUAUCAGGAGGAACACCGAUGGCGAAGGCAGAUCUCUGGGCCGUAACUGACGCUGAGGAGCGAAAGGGUGGGGAGCAAACAGGCUUAGAUACCCUGGUAGUCCACCCCGUAAACGUUGGGAACUAGUUGUGGGGACCAUUCCACGGUUUCCGUGACGCAGCUAACGCAUUAAGUUCCCCGCCUGGGGAGUACGGCCGCAAGGCUAAAACUCAAAGGAAUUGACGGGGACCCGCACAAGCGGCGGAGCAUGCGGAUUAAUUCGAUGCAACGCGAAGAACCUUACCAAGGCUUGACAUAUACGAGAACGGGCCAGAAAUGGUCAACUCUUUGGACACUCGUAAACAGGUGGUGCAUGGUUGUCGUCAGCUCGUGUCGUGAGAUGUUGGGUUAAGUCCCGCAACGAGCGCAACCCUCGUUCUAUGUUGCCAGCACGUAAUGGUGGGAACUCAUGGGAUACUGCCGGGGUCAACUCGGAGGAAGGUGGGGAUGACGUCAAAUCAUCAUGCCCCUUAUGUCUUGGGCUUCACGCAUGCUACAAUGGCCGGUACAAAGGGCUGCAAUACCGUGAGGUGGAGCGAAUCCCAAAAAGCCGGUCCCAGUUCGGAUUGAGGUCUGCAACUCGACCUCAUGAAGUCGGAGUCGCUAGUAAUCGCAGAUCAGCAACGCUGCGGUGAAUACGUUCCCGGGUCUUGUACACACCGCCCGUCAAGUCAUGAAAGUCGGUAAC
rnacentral:rRNA from 1 species